rnacentral:tmRNA from 1 species
UUUAUUGAAUCUCUUUCAAAUGCUUUUAUAGUAAUAGUGUUGGCUUGCCAACUACGACGAUAAACGAAUUUCGUAAUAACCAUUACGGACGUGGGGGCAGUACCCACCACCUCCACCAUUUACAACUUAUGGGGGUGAAAUAGGAUCGACGGGUGACUAAAGGCUAUUCUUUCGUUCGGGAUUGUUCCACCGUAACGGGCUAAACUUUAAAUGCUGACGAAAGUUACGCACUUGCUGCAUAAUUAACUUAGGUUAAUUAUAGAAGCACGGUCUGGGGCACCGGGUAACAGAACGCCCCUUACU